rnacentral:snoRNA from 1 species
CCUCUGUGGUGAUGAAAUAUGAAAUUCUUCGCAAGUCAGACUUCAGAGAUUUUUUCCCUAAAAUCCAUGAGAAGAGAAUUCAUUUUCUGGUCAGAGA